rnacentral:rRNA from 1 species
GACAGAGGGUGCAAACGUUGCUCGGAAUCACUGGGCGUAAAGGGCGUGUAGGCGGAUAGAUAAGUCGGGCGUGAAAUCCCCAGGCUCAACCUGGGAACUGCACUCGAAACUUUUUAUCUUGAGUGCCGGAGAGGAAAGCGGAAUUCCUGGUGUAGAGGUGAAAUUCGUAGAUAUCAGGAGGAACACCAGUGGCGAAGGCGGCUUUCUGGACGGUAACUGACGCUGAGACGCGAAAGCGUGGGGAGCAAACAGG